rnacentral:snRNA from 1 species
AGACUUACCUAGCAGGAGAGACACCAUGAUCAGGAAGGUGGUUUUCCCAGGGCGAGGCUUAUCCAUUGCACUUGGGAUGUGCUGACUCCUGUGAUUUCCCCAAAUGCGGGAAACUUGACUGCAUAAUUUGUGGUAGUGGGGGACUGCAUUCACGAUUUCCCCUG